rnacentral:rRNA from 1 species
CCAAUAGCGUAUAUUAAAGUUGUUGCAGUUAAAAAGCUCGUAGUUGAAUUUCGGGGUUCUACCGUUGGUCGGGCAAUAGUCUGUACCGGCGUGUAGAAUUUCUACCUUCUGGGGAACCAUCAUGUUAUUUAUUUAGCGUGGUGGGAAACCAGGACCUUUACCUUGAAAAAAUUAGAGUGUUCAAAGCAGGCUUACGUCUGAAUACAUUAGCAUGGAAUAAUAAAAUAGGACGGUGGUCCUGUUUUGUUGGUUUCUGAAUCACCGUAAUGAUUAAUAGGGAUAGUUGGGGGCAUUAGUAUUCAAUUGUCAGAGGUGAAAUUCUUGGAUUUAUUGAAGACUAACUUCUGCGAAAGCAUUUGCCAAGGAUGUUUUCAUUAAUCAAGAACGAAAGUUAGGGGAUCGAAGACGAUCAGAUACCGUCGUAGUCUUAACCAUAAACUAUGCCGACUAGGGAUCGGACGAUGUUAAUUUUUCUUGACUCGUUCGGCGCCUUACG